rnacentral:rRNA from 1 species
CUACGGGACGCUGCAGUCGAGGAAAUUUUACAAUGCUCGCAAGAGUGAUAGAAUAAACCAGAGUGUUCUAUUUAAUAGAACUUUUGUCUGCUGCAAAAAGGCAGACGAAUAAGGACUGGGCAAGACCGGUGCCAGCCGCCGCGGUAAUACCGGCGGUCCAAGUUGUAUCCACAUUUAUUGGGUCUAAAACAUUCGUAACUUGUUUGAUAAGUUUCUUGUGAAAUCCUAUAUCUCAAAUAUAGGGCGCGCAAGAAAUACUGUCUUACUAGAGACCGGAAGACGUAAGGAGUAUGGUUGAGGUAGCGGUAAAAUGUGUUAAUCUCAAUUAGACUAACAAUGGCGAAGGCACCUUACGAGUACGGAUCUGACAGUGAGGGAUGAAGGCUAGGGGCGCAAAAGGGAUUAGAUACCCGAGUAGUC